UUGCCAGAGUCGGGUCGCCGCAGCCGCUGGAGGUGGCUGCCGGAGCCACCACCGAACCGGUUCAGAGACCACUGCUAUUUCGGUUCAGCCGCUCUUUCUUUAGUUCGAGUUGUUGAGACUGUUGCGAAAGUGGCUUGGAGCUGAGGUUUUGGUUGCCGCCAGUUCGGUUUGAGACAGAAAGGACUUGAUGAGGCAUUUGGGUUAUGGAUUUGCGUUUUGAGGAUAUGGGCGCAGAAGUUACGAAGAGCUUAUUAAUUGUUGUUGUGAUGCUCUAUAUUGUUUU